GGGACUGUAGCUCAAAUGGUCGAGCUGCAUGGAAAAGGAGCUUUGUCAAAAGCUCAUGCAGUAUCUUUCUUAAGGGCAUGCCGAUGCAGGUUCAAAUCCUGCCAGUCCCU
rnacentral:tRNA from 1 species